rnacentral:tRNA from 1 species
CGGAGCUGGCCGACGGUGCGGCCGCGCUCGCCCUGCAGGCGUGCGACGGGCAGGCCCGUUUCGGCGUGUGCGCGUUCGAUCAGCGCAUCGCCGA